UAGACUUUUUCUGGAUGUACUCAGAUUUAUUUCAUGUUUCAAUAUAUUCGGAACCGUUGUUUUAUAUGUUGUAGCAAAAUAUUUUAUGGGAUAAUUUAAUUGUGUUCCAGCCUUUUAAAAGAUUAAAUUAUUUUCGAUCUACUUGGUGAAUGAGAUGAAGGAAAAAAACAAACCCCCCGCGCCGCGUCGACCGGGACCGACCUUGUUCGCCGCCGGCGCCUUCUCGCGCGGCACCUGAUUCCCACCGGCCGCCGCGCUAGGCUUGGCGAGUGCGCGUCGCCCGUCGGCGCCGGCGGCGGCUUCCGCCCGCCCGGACUACCGCAUCCUCCUGCCCUCUCCUGGGACGACGAGUCUCUCUUCCUGUUCCGGUGUCCCGGCGUGUUCCGGGCCUUCGACCCGGUGGGUGGGUCAUCGUGCAGGCCGCGCCUCUCCCCUGGAGCAGCAGAGCUUGACAUGGAUGGGAACAUGACUUCUUGGAAUGGCAAUGACAGAUGGAAUUACUUCUUAAGGGCUUCCAGAAACAAUUCAAUGCUCUGGAGAAUAAAAAGUAUUUUCGUUCUAUGAUCUCUUUGGUUGUGGCUAUUUUUGGAGAAUGAGCUACAGCUGGUGGACUUCUUUCAAAGGUGCCACAUACGAAGAGGAAGUCAGGAAGGAACAAAGUUUACUUCAUGCCCCUUAUUUGCCUCUCAGUUGGUUUCAUCCUACUGCAUACCAGUGCGAGUCUUGUGACUGAGCUCAUGACGCAGUUGAUUUCUCCCAAUGUGUUCUCAAUUGAUAGCAGAUGGGGGUCAACAAUAUCGAUCAGUCGUGCUGGAUAUGCCAUUUCUGCAUACUUCUGCAAUGUCAAUCCAUCAGUAAACAUGUCAUUUGUAGGCGCCUUCCCUGUAAACAUCUCAAGGAGCACUAUACCAAAGCUAUAUACAUCACCAGAUGGAGAAAUUUGACCACAUUCAGCAUAUUCUGCAGUGCAUAAACAUGAUAAUUAAGUAUUGCAUGGCUCAAACCAUAAGAUUUGUUGAAAAAAAGUAUUGAGUACCUGGAGCAAUAUAUCCAAUUGUUCCCAUUAGCCCUACAGAACUCUUUGAGUUGAUCAAUUGCUCUCCUUCUGGGUCAGUGAGAAUCUUGGCAAGGCCAAGGUCUCCAACAUGCGCAACCAUGUCCUCCCCAAGAAGAAUGUUGCUGGGCUUGAAAUCACAGUGAACUAUUGUUGGACGGCAGCUGUUGUGCAAAUAAUCUAGUGCAGCGGCGAUAUCAGAAGCAAUGCUCAAUCUCUGCAUUAGUGUUAGAACUUUAACUGGAUCUGAUGAGUGUACCUCCGGAUGUAACCAUUUAUCAAGGUUUCCGUGAGGCAUGAACUUGAAUACUAUGGCUUUAAAGUCAUUUUGAUUCAAGCCAGAGCAAGAACAGCAAGUUAUGACACCAAUCAAGUUGCGAUGGCGGAUUUUGCUAAUUGCGUUACACUCAGCCACAAAACUUUUGGAAGAACCAGAUUGUUCAAGAUUGAAAACCUUGAUAGCUACAGUAGUUUCUGACUUUUUGAGCAGCAUUGUCCCCUUAUAAACAGAUCCAUACCGUCCAGUGCCAACCAAAUUGUUGACAUUGAAGCCAUUCGUUGAUUGAAACAGUUCAUAAUAGGAUACUCGAGGAUACACGCCAUCUGGCAGAGGGGCUACCGUUGUUCGCAUGGAUGAAGGCCUUAGUUUCUUCCGUAUAGAGAAGGCAACAGCUGCCAGGAUAAAGCACACAAAGAUUGUAACAGCAGUCGGAAUAACCACUUUUUGAGUGACUAGGAGUAUACUUCGACUAUGUCCCAUGGGUUUGGUUGGGCAUGAAGGCAAAUGAAGCUCACCAAUACCACCACAAAGCUUAUCAUUCCCAUCAAACUUAAACCCUGUCAAAUUGGCAAACACUCCAUGUGCUGGGACUUGGCCAUCAAGGUUAUUAAAGGAUAUGUCAAGCCAAUAUAAUGAUGUCAUGUUUUCCAUGUUCUCUGGGAUUUGUGCAGAUAGAUUAUUGUGUGAAAGAUAUAGCUCUUUCAGUCCAUCCAUGAGUCCUAAGUCCUGAGGAAUUGCACCAAAAAAACUAUUUUUGGUCAAAUUUAGCAGUACUAAUCCUCGCAUUUUGCUCACUGAUACAGGAAUGGUACCAUUAAAGAAGUUAUCGUCCAAAUGAAGUUCCAUCAAGCUCUGACAGUUGCUGAGACUAUUUGGUAGCAACCCAGAAAAGUUGUUACUGUACAUGUAUAAGUAUGUAAGUUUUGUGAGACCACCUACUGCUGAUGGAAGAGAACCGCUAAAAUGAUUCCUUGACAGAUCCAGAACGUACGACAAGGAUGGAAGAUUAAAAAUCUCUCCAGGUAAUUGAUCUCUAAGUUUAUUGUUUGAAAAGGUUGCGAUGAUAAGUUGUUGCAGGUUCCCAAUGCUUGCUGGCAAUGGCCCCUCCAAGCUAUUGUUAUCUAGAGAGAGUUGCUGCAGUUGCGUUAAGUUUCCGAGUGAGGAUGGUAUGAUCCCAGACAAUAGGUUAUUUUCUAGUGUCAAGUACUGCAGUGUUUCAAGCCUUCCUAUGCUGUCAGGUAUCGGACCACUGAAACGAUUGUUAGAGAGACCCAACUUAAUUAAUUUGAGGAAGUUGUUAAUACCAUCUGGUAUUUUACCUGAAAUUUUGUUAAAUCCGAUAUCCAGGAGUUCGAGCUGUGCUGAUAGGUUGGUGAUAGAGUUUGGCAGUGCUCCACCAAGCCUGUUGUUUUGUAUUGUCACAGCACGAAGUCUUGUGCAAUUUGUCAAUAACGUGACGAACCUCCAGUCCUUGACACUGGUUGCCUUCAGCUGGUUUCUUUGCAGCAUCAGGUAUUUCAGGCAGAGCAUUCCAAUCUCCGGAGGUAUGAUUCCGGUGAAGUUGUUAGAAGAGAGGUCUAUGGAGCGCAUGUUGGUUGCAUUUGCUAUUGAAGGUGGGAUGCUUCCUGUGAAAUGGUUCAAGGCAAUGAUGAAGUACUGGAUUUUUGGUAGGCCAUUGCCCAAAUCGGAAGGCAAUCUUCCAUGCAACUCAUUCUCCUGCAGGCCAAUGUGGAUCAGCGAGGAAAGGUUGAGGAGUGUUCUUGGAAUGGUGCCUGACAGAUGAUUUACUUGCAGUGCCAACCUCUCAAGACUGCUGAUCUUGCCAAGGGCCUCAGGGAUUGGGCCAGUGAGGUGAUUCUCAUUGAGGAAAAGUUCCGACAGCGCCGAGAGGUUGCCAAGUGAUUGCGGGAUGAUCCCGGUGAAGAUGUUCUUCCCUAGUGAAAUGGAAUUGAGCUUCGGAAAACCUCCAAACCAAUCAGGGAUUUUUCCGUUCAGGCUGUUUAAGUCAAGUUUGAUGCUAGCAAGGUUAGUGCAGUUCCUUAGUUCAUCAGUGAUCUCGCCUUGAAGUGAAUUGUUUGACAGGUACAGGUAGGAUAACUGCGGUAGCUGGCCAAUUGUCCAAGGAAUUUCACCUUGGAAUGAAUUGUUUGACAAGUCGAGAUAUGACAACUUCGACAGCCGACCAAUCGUCAAAGGGAUUUCACCAUAAAGUUGAUUGCAACUAAGAUCUAGACUUCUCAAAUAUGUGAGAUUCCCAAUGGAAGCGGAUAUGUAGCCAUGGAGCCCAGUCGAGCCAGUGCAUCUGACUGAUGUCUUAGACCUGCCUUGAAUCCUAGCAAGGCAUCCAGAUCAGUGUUAUUGCUGAAAGGCAAUCCUUGAGUACAUGAAGCUGAUGCCAGUAGGAGCAGAUAUGGCAAGAGAAGCAAUUUUAGGGCAGUAAACAUUUUGAAGCACUUUUCUGGCAUCUAAAAACAAAAAAGAAUUAGUCUUCA
rnacentral:lncRNA from 1 species